AUUGAACGCUGGCGGCAGGCCUAACACAUGCAAGUCGAGCGAGCGGCGGACGGGUGAGUAAUGUCUGGGAAACUGCCUGAUGGAGGUGUAUAACUACUGGAAACGGUAGCUAAUAACGCAUACCCUCUGAUUUGCCCAGAUGUGAUUAGCUAGUAGGUGGGGUAACGGCUCACCUAGUCGACGAUCCCUAGCUGGUCUGAGAGGAUGACCAGCCACACUGGAACUGAGACACGGUCCAGACUCCUACGGGAGGCAGCAGUGGGGAAUAUUGCACAAUGGGCGCAAGCCUGAUGCAGCCAUGCCGCGUGUGUGAAGAAGGCCUUCGGGUUGUAAAGCACUUUCAGCGGGGAGGCGUUACCCGCAGAAGAAGCACCGGCUAACUCCGUGCCAGCAGCCGCGGUAAUAC
rnacentral:rRNA from 1 species